UUCAGAGGAUGAAAUGGGAUUUUAAAGGAGCCAGUUCCAAAAAGAGAAAUAAAGAACACUGACAGAUAACCGUGAUGACAAUGAGGACGAUGAUGCCUGACUAUACCUGAUGAUCUGCCAGGCACCAUACAAAGCACUUCACAUAUAGUUUCUCAUUUAAGGGAUCUUGCUUUGUCACCCAGGCUGGAGUAUA